rnacentral:tRNA from 5 species
GGGGCCGUAGCUCAGCUGGGAGAGCGCGUGAAUGGCAUUCACGAGGUCGGCGGUUCGAUCCCGCUCGGCUCCACCA